rnacentral:rRNA from 1 species
CACGAACCGUACGAACGUUAUUCGGAAUUACUGGGCUUAAAGGGUUUGUAGGCGGCCUUGUAAGUCAGGUGUGAAAUCCCUCGGCUCAACCGAGGAAUGGCGCUUGAUACUGCACGGCUUGAGGGAGACAGGGGUAAGCGGAACUGAUGGUGGAGCGGUGAAAUGCGUAGAUAUCGAGAGGAACACCUGCGGCGAAGGCGGGUUGCUGGGCUGACACUGACGCUGACAGCGCGAAAGCUAGGGGAGCGAACGGG